UCCUCAGCCCCCUGUGUCUGGGCAGAUACCAGCCAAUUCCCCGAGAAGUUUCCCCUCCUGCAUCAGGGAGAAUGAGACUUUGGCGCCACUUACUUUUCAUUGUAGCGGCUUUGGCAGGGGCCCGUUCGCAGGUUGUUCUGACCCAGUCGGGUCUCGAAGUGAAGCAGCCCGGGGAAUCCACCCAGCUGAAAUGCGCCGUGAGCGGGUUUGUUCCUAACGACUGGUGGAUGGACUGGGUCAGGCAGCAGCCGGGAAAGGGACUGGAGUGGCUGGUUCACUAUCACAAAUCUUCAGUCACGAAUUACUACUCCGCCUCCAUCCAGGGGCGAUUCACAGCCUCCAAGGACAGCGCCAACUUCUACCUGCAAAUGACCGGCCUGAAGCCCGAGGACACCGCCGUGUAUUACUGUGCGAGAGACACAGUGCGGGGAAGCGAGUUUGAGCUCAAACAAAAACCUCCCCCUGCAGAGACCAGGGAAGGCAGCAGCUCUGCUCCCCAGCACUGA